GAUGAACGCUGGCGGCGUGCCUAAUACAUGCAAGUCGAGCGAACGGACGAGAAGCUUGCUUCUCUGAUGUUAGCGGCGGACGGGUGAGUAACACGUGGAUAACCUACCUAUAAGACUGGGAUAACUUCGGGAAACCGGAGCUAAUACCGGAUAAUAUUUUGAACCGCAUGGUUCAAAAGUGAAAGACGGUCUUGCUGUCACUUAUAGAUGGAUCCGCGCUGCAUUAGCUAGUUGGUAAGGUAACGGCUUACCAAGGCAACGAUGCAUAGCCGACCUGAGAGGGUGAUCGGCCACACUGGAACUGAGACACGGUCCAGACUCCUACGGGAGGCAGCAGUAGGGAAUCUUCCGCAAUGGGCGAAAGCCUGACGGAGCAACGCCGCGUGAGUGAUGAAGGUCUUCGGAUCGUAAAACUCUGUUAUUAGUGAAGAACAUAUGUGUAAGUAACUGUGCACAUCUUGACGGUACCUAACCAGAAAGCCACGGCUAACUACGUG
rnacentral:rRNA from 1 species